CCUACGGGAGGCAGCAGUGAGGAAUAUUGGUCAAUGGACGAGAGUCUGAACCAGCCAAGUAGCGUGAAGGAUGACUGCCCUAUGGGUUGUAAACUUCUUUUAUAUGGGAAGAAAAUGUACCACGUGGGGGAGUUUGUAUGUACCAUAGGAAUAAGGAUCGGCUAACUCCGUGCCAGCAGCCGCGGUAAUACGGAGGAUCCGAGCGUUAUCCGGAUUUAUGGGGGUUAAAGGGAGCGUAGGUGGAUUGUUAAGUCAGUUGUGAAAGUUUGCGCCUCAACCGUAAAAUUGCAGUUGAAACUGGCAGUCUUGAGUACAGUAGAGGUGGGCGGACUUCGUGGUGUAGCGG
rnacentral:rRNA from 1 species